AGGUUGCCUUUCUGCAAAAUUAAUCAGCGAAUCAAAGGUCAGAGCUGCCUUCUCCCUGGCAAUUGCUGUUCCUCCAGAGGAGCUUUUUCUUCUCCACUGUGGCAAUGAGUCUUAACUCUUCCACAGCCUCGGGACCCACAUCAGCUCCUGCUGUGCUUCUGCCCCUGGUGACUAGACUGGGAGCUCCUGUGCCUACCAAAAUACCAGCUUUCCAGACUUCUUGAGCCAUGAGGUGGAACCAGCCCUUCAGCAAGCUGUCCCUGCAGGUGUGCUCCCAGGCACACACCAACAGCUGUCCUGGGCUGCAUCCCUUUGAACUGCGAGUCAGAGCAAACCUCUCUCCUUGAAGCUGUCCUUUUCUACAAUGUUUUGUCAUAGAUAUAAGAAAAGACAUUUGAUUCACUGACUUCUACUGAGAUAAACAUCAUUAAGCCAGACAUAAUAAAAACCCAGUUUCAAUACAUAAAACUGCUCAAGAGAGACAGUAGACAACGAAGAGUUUCUGGAAGGAGCUACAAAAUUGGUCCAUAGCCUCGGGAUGAAGUGACUUUUUUUUUUUUUUAUGAACUCCACCUAACUGUGUCCUACAUGGAAACACUACAGCAGAAUUUCGGGAGCUCAGGUUCCAUCAACUGCAUGUGAUGUUCACUUGGCACCCGGUCGCAGAGAGAAUGACCACAUGCUAUUAGAAGGAAAAAUGCAUGUAUCUUUACCUGAUACAUCUGACUGUCUAUCUGUCCACCUUUUGUAACUGUCCCUCCACGGGAGCUGUGAUGUGCUCCGUGACACUUCUGUUAGAGGAGUGCAGGACUCCCUCCCCAGGGAUAACGUUUGUCGCAUCGCCAGCUCUGUUCUGCCACAUAUGUUUUCCCUCUGGUUUGACAAACAGGAUCUCUCUAUUGCAAGGAGCAAAAGCCACUUACAGCUAAUGCAUGAAGAAAGGGAAUGUUUUUGGAGUAACCAUAGAAUCAAGGUACGUUCCGUGGUUCUGGGCACAGGAAUUAAUGGGAAUAAUUAAUUCUGUGUGAUGAUACCCCUGCUGUCAGGGUUCAUGAGUCUGGUAAGAAAUUCUGAUUGGCUGAGCUUAGAUACAGGACUCUCCUUUCAGCCACACGUGAGAGAGAAUGGCCAAGUUGAACUGAACGUACAAUAAGGGCAGUUAUUCCUUGGUUGAAAUUGGGAUCCACUAUCAGCGUGGGGUAGUUGUUUGGUAGACAGAUACUCCCCACCACACCCUCUCACCCUCAACCUAUACUGCCCACCCCCAACUCUACCCCCACCCCAGCAAAACAACAGCAAAGCAAUGGCUGCUGGAAUUGGGAGCCAUCCACAACACAUUGAGCAAGCACAGACUCAGAGAAUGCAAUAAUAAAACAUUUAUUUUUUUCUCAUGUCUUUCUAAACUUACUUGAUGGAGCUGACAAUGGUGAUACAUCCCUG